ensembl:lncRNA
UGCAGCUGCUUGACAGCUGUACUUGACAAAAAAGAAGUCGGAGAUGCAGAACAUCAUGACUGGCUCGCAUUGAGAGGAAGCUCCUCUUUUAGUCAUUCCUGUUGAGAUGUCCUGAUGCAGUAAGAUGUACAAGUGCAUCAUCUCCAGAAUCAAUAGCCUGAUGGACGAGGAGAGGAAGAAAAGCAAAGCCACCACCCAGCUCUUCAACCUCCUGCCUUGCGCUGUCAAUCCGGGAGAAGAAUCCUUUGGCCUGGUAUAGAUAUUUGUGCUAGGAAGAGAUGAAUUUCACUGUUAUUCCUCUGACAGUAGUGAUGAUGAAACGGAGCUAAGCAAGGAGCAGAGUAUGGGCAGGAGUCUGGCAUGACUGCAGAUGACAAAGAGUAGCAGUAGAUGCACAGGAUGUCCCUCCAGAGAGGAAGGAGAAGAGGUCAGAAAUGAUGAAGCAAUUCCUCCAAACUGUUCUUCACAUGGAUAAUAAAUGUCAAAGAACGAUGAAGUAUCAGGAGACAUGGAAAAGGAAAUGGACAAGAUACUAAAUACUUGGAAAAGCAACAACAGCAACAAGAACAACAAAAAAAAUGCUGACCUGGAAGCCACCAAGUCAAGCUGUUUACAAAGUAUUUGAAAGAGGGAUCUACUGACUCAUCGUGGAUACUAUGGCAGGCUGCUUUUUACAUGCCACUUUUCUGACAAAUGCCUUCAGACUUUGGAUGUUUCCCAAACAAACAUUGGAGGGGAAGAGAGAGUGUGUGAUGCUAAAAGAAAGGUACUAAACAAUUGGAGGAAAUGCUUUUUAGAUAGCUCUUAGGUACUGUGUUUAUCUUCCUACCUAAUAAAAUUAAUUUUCCAGACCUACGCCUAUUCAAUGAGCCUGUUCUCCUCCUGGAACUUCUCCACACUUCGAGUGUCUGAACUUUGCUGCCAACUGAUUUCCUUAAGAAAGCUCAUGCCUGCCUCCUGUCUUUCCUCAAAGGAGAAUUUACUAUCAAGUCAUUGAGAACACAGGUAUCAACUCUGUUGCAAAAGUAGUUGAGCUAGAAAGCUGAUGGCAUGAACAUACUCCAGCAUCUAUAGUUAUUAGCAAAGUAAGGAGCUCCAUAGCUACCAGUCAUGUCAGACAACACUAUUUCCUUUGCUUGAAUGGCCAGGUCUUCAGAUAUGUCUGGGUCAGCUGAGGACAAUGUUUUGACAGGUUGCUGAAAAAGAUUUGAUCUUGCCAUAUAGUCAAUCAUGACCCACUCAGUGGGAGAAAUUUUAUAAUUUGUUAAGCACAUAAGUGCAUUCACAGCAAAGUCUUUCCAUUAAUAAUCAGAC